CGAGCCAGCCAGAUGAUCGCGGCCACCGAGCCGAGGAAAGUCCGGACUCCACAGGGCAGGGUGGUGGGUAACGCCCACCCGGGGUGACCCGCGGGAAAGUGCAACAGAGAGUAGACCGCCAGCCGUCCGGCUGGUCAGGGUGAAACGGUGGUGUAAGAGACCACCAGCACCCCAGGUGACUGGGGUGGCUAGGUAAACCCCACCUGGAGCAAGACCAAGAAGGCCGCGACAGCGGCCGCAGGCGCCGGUGACCCGGCCCGGCGAGGCGCCUGGGUAGGUCGCACGAGGCCGUCGGCAACGGCGGUCCUAGAUGGAUGAUCAUCGCCCCGGCAACGGGGUACAGAAUCCGGCUUAUCGGCUGGCUCGUCCC
rnacentral:RNase_P_RNA from 1 species